rnacentral:rRNA from 1 species
GAUGAACGCUGGCGGCGUGCCUAAUACAUGCAAGUCGAGCGAACAGACGAGGAGCUUGCUCCUCUGACGUUAUCGGCGGACGGGUGAGUAACACGUGGAUAACCUACCUAUAAGACUGGGAUAACUUCGGGCAACCGGAGCUAAUACCGGAUAAUAUAUUGAACCGCAUGGUUCAAUAGUGAAAGACGGUUUUCCUGUCACUUAUAGCUGGAUCCGCGCCGCAUUAGCUAGUUGGUAAGGUAACGGCUUACCAAGGCAACGAUGCGUAGCCGACCUGAGAGGGUGAUCGGCCACACUGGAACUGAGACACGGCCCAGACUCCUACGGGAGGCAGCAGUAGGGAAUCUUCCGCAAUGGGCGAAAGCCUGACGGAGCAACGCCGCGUGAGUGAUGAAGGUCUUCGGAUCGUAAAACUCUGUUAUUAGGGAAGAACAAAUGUGUAAGUAACUAUGCACGUCUUGACGGUACCUAAUCAGAAAGCCACGGCUAACUACGUG